CAGAACGAACGCUGGCGGCAGGCCUAAUACAUGCAAGUCGAGCGCGCCCUUCGGGGUGAGCGGCGGACGGGUGAGUAACGCGUGGGAAUAUGCCCUUCUCUAAGGAAUAGCCUCUGGAAACGGAGAGUAAUACCUUAUACGCCCUUUGGGGGAAAGAUUUAUCGGAGAAGGAUUAGCCCGCGUUAGAUUAGGUAGUUGGUGGGGUAAUGGCCUACCAAGCCUACGAUCUAUAGCUGGUUUGAGAGGAUGAUCAGCCACACUGGGACUGAGACACGGCCCAGACUCCUACGGGAGGCAGCAGUAGGGAAUCUUAGACAAUGGGGGCAACCCUGAUCUAGCCAUGCCGCGUGUGUGAUGAAGGCCCUAGGGUCGUAAAGCACUUUCGCCAGAGAUGAUAAUGACAGUAUCUGGUAAAGAAACCCCGGCUAACUCCGUGCCAGCAGCCGCGGUAAUACGGAGGGGGUUAGCGUUGUUCGGAAUUACUGGGCGUAAAGCGCACGUAGGCGGAUUAGUAAGUUAGAGGUGAAAUCCCAGGGCUCAACCCUGGAACUGCCUUUAAUACUGCUAGUCUUGAGUUCGAGAGAGGUAAGUGGAAUUCCGAGUGUAGAGGUGAAAUUCGUAGAUAUUCGGAGGAACACCAGUGGCGAAGGCGGCUUACUGGCUCGAUACUGACGCUGAGGUGCGAAAGUGUGGGGAGCAAACAGGAUUAGAUACCCUGGUAGUCCACACCGUAAACGAUGAAUGCCAGACGUCAGCAAGUAUACUUGUU
rnacentral:rRNA from 1 species